rnacentral:rRNA from 1 species
UACAUGGGAAUCUGCCCAGUCGUGGGGGAUAACGUAGGGAAACUUACGCUAAUACCGCAUGCGCCCUUCGGGGGAAAGCCGGGGACCUUCGGGCCUGGCGCGAUUGGAUGAGCCCAUGUCGGAUUAGCUAGUUGGCGGGGUAAUGGCCCACCAAGGCGACGAUCCGUAGCUGGUCUGAGAGGAUGAUCAGCCACACUGGAACUGAGACACGGUCCAGACUCCUACGGGAGGCAGCAGUAGGGAAUAUUGGACAAUGGGCGCAAGCCUGAUCCAGCCAUGCCGCGUGAGUGAAGAAGGCCCUCGGGUUGUAAAGCUCUUUUGUCCGGAAAGAAAAGCGCCGGGUUAAUACCCUAGUGUCCUGACGGUACCGGAAGAAUAAGCACCGGCUAACUUCGUG